CUAAUUGAUGAUUUUCACUUCUAAGAAUCUGACAACAAGUCUGACAACAUGUGGCAGGAUAAUGCGUCUAAUACUCGCUUUUAGAAGCGAGUAUUUUUAUUUUUUUUUUGCCUUUUAUUUGUCUUUUUGGGUACUCUGGCUGUCAGCCAAUUAACUCACAGGGGACAUUGUAUAAAUAGGAGUAGUGGCAGCCAUCCCUUCCUUUUUUCUCUGGCCUUUUUCCCUUCACUUCCGGAUCGCCUUACCUCUUUCCUCACGCAAACACCGGUGCAGGUAAGUUAACAGUGGCUGCUCAAAAUGCAAACUGAUCAAUUAUCUUGCUGAUUUGUCUGUGGUUCGGCUCGUUUUAGACGCAGUGUCCGUUGUUGCCGUGUGGGUUAAGUGUCUCCCUGCGGACUUCCAGCGGUGCUGAUUUAAUGUAAGUAAAACAUUACUUCGCUUUGACGCUGCUUUGCCUUCGCCUCUGCUCGGGACAUUUGCUCAGGACGUGCAGCGAUUGAGCUUGACGCUGCGUGGUAGAACGUAAAGAGGAACAAACUGUAACGGGCUGAUAUGGCAGACUGGCUCGGACUGUUUUAUUGAAUUCAAGGGUUGUGCUGCUCUUUCCUUAGCUGGUCUUGAAUGAACUGAUUGGUUGAACUAAUUGUGGGGCUAACUUUUGUUGAUAGUUUUGUUUCUUUUCUUUUGUUUUCAUCCUCCUUGGGUUUUCUUGUUUCUUUUCCUCUAUUUGUGUUGUUUGUAUUUCUCUUGUUUGAGUUCAUGGGGAACAUCUUUUUGUUUAAGUUUGUUUCCAUGGACUACCAUUGAACUUUUAUUUCUUUUGUAUUUAGUAAACUAUUUCUUUUGCUUGAGUACAAAAUUUUGCUCACGCAGUUGUUCACAAAGUGGUGAACCUCGCCCCAUCCUUGCUUGUGAAUGACUGAGAAUUUGUGGGGAAGCUGCUUUUAUACCCAAUCAUGGCACCCACCUGUUCCCAAUUAGCCUGCUCACCGGAUGUUCCAAAUAGAUAUUUGAUGAGCAUUCCUCAAAUUUCUCAGUAUUUUUUGACACCUUUUCCAACUACUUUGGCACGUAUUGCAGCCAUCAAAUUCUGAGUUAAUCAUUAUUUGCAAAAAAAAACAAAGUUUAUGAGUUUGAACAUUAAAUAUCUUGUCUUUUUAGUGUAUUCAACUGAAUAUAGCUUGAAUAGGAUUUUCAAAUCAUUAUAUUCUGUUUUUAUUAACAUUUAUCACAAUUUCCCAACUUCAAUGAAACUGAGUUUUGUAGAUGAGAACAUCUUAUUUUCUAAAUAAUGAGUUUGGGGUCAGUCUAUUUUGUUAAUCAGGUUUAAUUCUUUGACACUAUAUGUCUGAUUUGUUAGUUAUUUGGUUGUCAUUUAUAUUGUUUAAUUAUAGUUUGACAGUAUUUUGGGUGUGAGGCCACUAAUCCCCCUUUUUUGUGUCCUUUUUCAGUUGCUGAGAGCCAACUGUGGUGGUCCCUGGUGUCCUGGUGGUGGUUUCCCUCUUUUAUAGUGUGCUGUGAAUCCCUGGUCUUUUAGUUGUUGCACUGUGUGAAUUUUUGUGUGAUUGUUACGUUAUUUGGUGCCCUCCUUCCCUGGGAUCCCUUCACCUUUCCUUUCACUCAACGCACUUUGGUAAGACU
rnacentral:lncRNA from 1 species